GUAGCCCAGCGGUAGAGCAUCUGCUUUGCAUGCAGAAAGUCCCUGGUUUGAUCCCCAGGAUCUCCA